GGUAUAUACACUGUUUUUUAGACAUAAAUCGUAUCAAUAAUCUCAGUAACCCUUCUGAAAAUAUUCAAGGCACCACCCUCAUCAAAUAUUGCCCGAAGUCUGCUUAUUGAACGGCUUCUAAGAAACUGUACCAUCACUUGAAAGCAGGCCAGGCGUGGUGGCUCACAUCUGUAAUCCCAGCACUUUGGGAGGAUUACAGGCAUGAGCCACCGUGCCCGGCCUGUAACUACUUAAGAUUAGUCAUAUAGAAUGUGAAAAACUACGCUUACUGAAGUAUGAUGGAGAAAGGUCUAGCUGAAUUUUCACUAACUGAGGUUCUUAAUAUGGGGAGUCCAUAGAGAAUUCAGGGAUCUGUGAAUAUGGAUGGGAACCUUUUCACUAACCUCUAUACAAAAAUUAACAAUUCCUUCAAUCAAGAAUAUUAGUAACAAACUACAGUAGUAUUAGAAAACCUAUGAAUUUGUCAU
rnacentral:lncRNA from 1 species